rfam:Candidatus Tenderia electrophaga isolate NRL1 chromosome, complete genome.
AAAAUACGCCGCUUUAAAGCUGCAUAGUCAAUUGUGAUUUUUUUUUGGGAGAUAUACAUGUCAUUAAAUGCUGAAGCCAAGCAGAAGGUCGUUAAUGACUUUCAGCGUUCCGAA